rnacentral:rRNA from 1 species
GCUUAGGGAGGAGCUUGCGUCACAUUAGUUAGUUGGUGGGGUAAAGGCCUACCAAGACUAUGAUGUGUAGCCGGGCUGAGAGGUUGAACGGCCACAUUGGGACUGAGACACGGCCCAAACUCCUACGGGAGGCAGCAGUAGGGAAUUUUCGGCAAUGGAGGAAACUCUGACCGAGCAACGCCGCGUGAACGAUGAAGUAUUUCGGUACGUAAAGUUCUUUUAUUAGGGAAGAAUAAAUGAUGGAAAAAUCAUUCUGACGGUACCUAAUGAAUAAGCCCCGGCUAACUAUGUGCCAGCAGCCGCGGUAAUACAUAGGGGGCAAGCGUUAUCCGGAAUUAUUGGGCGUAAAGGGUGCGUAGGCUGUUAAAUAAGUUUAUGGUCUAAGUGCAAUGCUCAACAUUGUGAUGCUAUAAAAACUGUUUAGCUAGAGUAAGAUAGAGGCAAGUGGAAUUCCAUGUGUAGUGGUAAAAUGCGUAAAUAUAUGGAGGAACACCAGUAGCGAAGGCGGCUUGCUGGGUCUUUACUGACGCUGAGGCACGAAAGCGUGGGGAGCAAACAGGAUUAGAUACCCUGGUAGUCCACGCCGUAAACGAUGAGUACUAAACGUUGGGUAAAACCAGUGUUGAAGUUAACACAUUAAGUACUCCGCCUGAGUAGUACGUACGCAAGUAUGAAACUUAAAGGAAUUGACGGGACUCCGCACAAGCGGUGGAUCAUGUUGUUUAAUUCGAAGGUACCCGAAAAACCUCACCAGGUCUUGACAUGCUUCUGCAAAGCUGUAGAAACACAGUGGAGGUUAUCAGUUGCACAGGUGGUGCAUGGUUGUCGUCAGCUCGUGUCGUGAGAUGUUGGGUUAAGUCCCGCAACGAGCGCAACCCUUNUUGNUAGUUGCCAGCACGUAAUGGUGGGGACUUUAGCAAGACUGCCAGUGAUAA